GUGGGGGUAGGGGGGAGGAGGGGGAGGUUAAACCAGUUCUGCACACCCCAGGCACAGGACCACAGCGCCUGGAGACGGGCCCCGGGUUCAGAGAACCGCUCGGACCUCCGAGGCCCGAUCUGAGCACGUCUGCGGUAAAGUGUGGCGAUUUGGCCCGUCACACGUAAGAGCCUCACAGAAUAGAGCUAUUCAGGCCUGGCCACCAAACAAGCGCCCCUCCUGUGGCCCGGACACAAAGAUGCUCUUAUGAGGGAACUGGCCCGUGUGGAGCGCUCCUGCACAGCUGAAUCCCCGCAUUCAGGAGCCCCACAGCACGCUCUCCCCUUUAAACACGUGUCAUACGUCACACAUGCAGUACCCGUGCGUUCCUACAGGGGGCGAUACGCACGAGAAAAACAACAACCGCUGCUGAUCUUACAGACAGAGUGGGUUGCAGUGAUGCAACGCCUAGGCUGCACCAAGUGCCCUGAUUACCUACAGAGAAGAUAGUGUCUAAACCCGCCAGAUUUAAAAGUGACUGGCUGUCUCAUAAUGGGCUUACGGCCUGGUCAUUAUGCUUUAUAACCUCCCUCCUGCAUUCACUGUUUCACUGUCGCUCCAGCUGAACAGAGUGUCACCACCGUUCACCCAAACCUUUACUUUUUAAUGUCACACUUGCAGCGUGUACUUGCCCAAAAAGCCAUUUAUUGUGCACGUAGCCCUGAUCCUGAACUCAACCCAGUGUGAUACUGGUCCCCAGAGUGCUGUACUGUGGCUGCCCACUGCUCCUGAGUAGCCAGGAUGGGUUGAAUGCAGAGGACAACUUACAAUUACCCCACAGGGUUCAGGAGAGCGCAUCUUAAAUCUCACAGCACAGAUUCAGCUUGAGUGACAGAGGAUGAAUGCCUGUUCCUGGGCCACAUGUCCCUAAAUAGGGCACCUGAACACAGUAAUGAGACAGACGUGUGAUCUCACUUCCUGGGCACCUGAACACGGUAAUGAGACAGACGUGUGAUCUCAGUUCCUGGGCACCUGAACACGGUAAUGAGACAGACGUGUGAUCUCACUUCCUGGGCACCUGAACACGGUAAUGAGACAGACGGUGAUCUCACUUCCUGGGCACCUGAACACGGUAAUGAGACAGACGUGUGAUCUCACUUCCUGGGCACCUGAACACGGUAAUGAGACAGACGUGUGAUCUCACUUCCUGGGCACCUGAACACGGUAAUGAGACAGACGUGUGAUCUCACUUCCUGGGCACCUGAACACGGUAAUGAGACAGACGUGUGAUCUCACUUCCUGUAUCGGAGCAGUAUUACACCACACAGGUGUGAGACGUAACACACUCUAUUCACUACUGCUACACACUGAAGGAACCGGACUGACUCAUGCUUUCCAUGCAGGGAAUAAACCUAACGGUGUUUAGAUUUGCAGCCGAUGCUCUGUCCUUUUAAACUGAUGAAGUCCUACUGCAGGUUGCUACUCUAGAAAAGCGCACACACAUCUGUGUCCUUGAUAGGAUGACCCGCAGUUUGCCGUCUAAGCAUUACUAGCGUAGCGCUAAAUGGGACGGAAUCCGUCCGCUGUGGGUCCACCGCCACAUUGCACAGAUUUCCUUUGGUAACGUCACGCGUGUAAAAAGCAUGCAAGGAUGUAUAAAGAUUAGUAAAGGUGAAGGAGAGUGGACAGGUAUGGCACAGGUAUGCAGUUACUACAGGUGAUGUGUUUUAGAGGGUGAGUCUGAGGGUAUACCAGUGUGUAGGCAUGUGAGUGUGGGUGUGUGAAUGUGGGUAAAGUUGUGUGAAUGUGUGUGUGGGUAAAGGUGUGUGAAUGUGUGUGUGGGUGUAUGAAUGUGGGUAAGGUGUGAAUGUGCAGUUAGGUGGAUAGGGGUGUGCAGGUAAGGUGUGUGAAUGUGUUUGAGGGUGUAUGAUGGCGUGCAGUAAACUCUUGUGAAGGUGUAGCAGUGUACCUUGCUCCAGUCUCUGCACCAGGGAACGUCUGGCAGCCUCCACCUCCGGUCUGGGGUUAUCCAGAACCUGCCUGCACCACUGCAGGGGACUGAGGGAGCGCUCUGUCCAAAGCCUGCUCUUCGGAGGCAAGUACAACCUGCAGGGAGAGAGACCAGCGCCUGACCCACAGACAACCAUCAAAACCAUCCUGACCCAAGGACAACCAUCACAGCCCUUCUGACCCAAGGACAACCAUCACAGCCCUUCUGACCCAAGGACAACCAUCACAGCCACGGUCAGUGACAUAUCACAUUAUUACACUACAUUAGACAUUCAGCAGACACUCUUAUCCAGAGACACUGACACAGGUUUAGCAUUUUUACAGUGCAUCCAUUUACACAUCUGGAUACAUACUGAAGCAGUGCAGGUUAAGCACCUGGCACAGUGGGAUAACAGUCAUACCUGGGAAUCAAACCUACAACCUUUAGGUUACAGGGCCAGCUCCCUACCCAUUACCCCACACUGGCACCCUCUUUGUACUCUCUGUGCUGUUAGCCGUUAGCUUGGCCGAUGCCCUUAUCAUGGCCAGCUGGCACCAACGCCAAAGCUGAGCGAGUCGCUCUGGAUAAGAACGUUACCGGUAAAGCAGUGCAACACAUUCCACUGCAGAUCAGCCAAUUGUUUUUAGAUGCAGGCUAAUCUCUGGCUGGAGACACACUUCCUGUCAGGAGGCUUCUGGGUAAUUGCUCACAGGUCUGGGUGGUUCCUGUGUGCCAGCGCUCACUGGCUGUCUCUCCUCACUCACUCACUUCAUACAUGAACACAUGAACAUGCUUUUCACUCUUCUACCAAAGGUCACAGAAGCUGUGUUUCAACACGGUACAACAUCCUGGCUGCAUGUGUGUGUAUUUAGGUUUUUAAAGUACAUUUCAAAAGCCUUGAGCAAAUGUUAUAACUGUUUGGCUCUGUUAUACCUGAUUUUACGCAAUGUCAUCCACAGUUAUUACAGCCUACAUGUAAACUGUUUUAGCAGAACAGCAGUUUUGUGUUCCAGCUACUGUUUAUACACACACACACAAUGGACCAGUGUCUACAUCAUGUGACAAACAAGCUACUGUUAAAAAACUGCACACAUCAUUACAUAAAAAGAGCUCUUAUUUUACCUUAAUUAAAAACUGCAAAAUGA